CUACAACAAUGCCAUAUGACAAUGCUGUUUGAGCUCUUGGAAAAAUAUGCGAGUUUCAUCGGGAUAGCAUAGAUGCAGCACGGAUAGUUCCAGCUUGGUUAGGCUGCUUGCC